rnacentral:rRNA from 1 species
CCCCUAGAUGUUCUGGGCCGCACGCGCGCUACACUGAACAGUUCGACAAGUCUUAACCUUGGCCGAUAGGUCUGGGUAAUCUUUGAACGCUGUUCGUGAUUGGGAUAGACCUUUGCAAUUAUGGGUCUUCAACGAGGAAUUCCUAGUAAACGCAAGUCAUCAGCUUGCAUUGAUUACGUCCCUGCCCUUUGUACACACCGCCCGUCGCACCUACCGAUUGAAUGGUCCGGUGAAAUCUCGGGACGGCGGCUUGGUCGCUUGCGUCCGACUGCUGAAACUUGAUUAAACCAUNUNAUUUAANGGAAGGUGAANUCGUANCA